rnacentral:ncRNA from 1 species
AAAUAGCUUGCAGGGGCUAGAUAGAAUAAAUACAUUUAAGAUGAUACACUUCAGACCUGAAAGACGGUUGACAAAAGUAUCCGCACCCUGCUAACGGGUUACUCAAGCAGGAGGGCGAAAGUGGGUAUAAGUGAGGUGCUAGACCCCCAAAAAGUCCCCUCUAAAGGGACACAUCUAAGGACUAUUAUAGUCUAUGAUGAACGACACCAAGAGUUGGCUGAUAGCGACAUGAAAAGGACACGAACAGACACCGAAAGGAAAGCAGGUAGGGCAUGCAGACGCUUGUAGAAAGUUCGUUCAAAACUUGAAAUAGUUUUGAAGUUGUAACCC